rnacentral:ncRNA from 22 species
UUUCAAAUAACUAUGCAAACAUAAACACACACAACAUAAUGGAAAAACGACUAUCUCUUCGACUGCUUCUGUUAUCGCAUUUCGUGCGAGGAUAAAGGUCGUUCGGAGUGAAAGCGUUCACUAUCCACACUUUGCCCGCACAUUGAUGCGGGUUUUUUUUACUUAUA